rnacentral:rRNA from 1 species
AUUGAACGCUGGCGGCAUGCCUUACACAUGCAAGUCGAACGGUAACGCGGGGCAACCUGGCGACGAGUGGCGAACGGGUGAGUAAUGUAUCGGAACGUGCCCAGUUGUGGGGGAUAACUGCUCGAAAGAGCAGCUAAUACCGCAUACGACCUGAGGGUGAAAGCGGGGGAUCGCAAGACCUCGCGCAAUUGGAGCGGCCGAUAGCAGAUUAGGUAGUUGGUGGGGUAAAGGCCCACCAAGCCAACGAUCUGUAACUGGUCUGAGAGGACGACCAGCCACACUGGGACUGAGACACGGCCCAGACUCCUACGGGAGGCAGCAGUGGGGAAUUUUGGACAAUGGACGCAAGUCUGAUCCAGCCAUGCCGCGUGCGGGAAGAAGGCCUUCGGGUUGUAAACCGCUUUUGUCAGGGAAGAAACGCUCUGGGUUAAUACCUCGGGGUAAUGACGGUACCUGAAGAAUAAGCACCGGCUAACUACGUGCCAGCAGCCGCCGUAAUAC